AACGAACGCUGGCGGCAUGCCUAACACAUGCCAGUCGAACGAGACCUUCGGGUCUAGUGGCGCACGGGUGCGUAACGCGUGGGAACCUGCACUUAGGUUCGGAAUAACUCACCGAAAGGGGUGCUAAUACCGGAUAAUGUCUUCGGACCAAAGAUUUAUCGCCUUUGGAUGGGCCCGCGUUGGAUUAGCUAGUUGGUAGGGUAAAAGCCUACCAAGGCGACGAUCCAUAGCUGGUCUGAGAGGAUGAUCAGCCACACUGGGACUGAGACACGGCCCAGACUCCUACGGGAGGCAGCAGUGGGGAAUAUUGUACAAUGGGCGAAAGCCUGAUCCAGCAAUGCCGCGUGAGUGAUGAAGGCCUUAGGGUUGUAAAGCUCUUUUACCCGGGAUGAUAAUGACAGUACCGGGAGAAUAAGCUCCGGCUAACUCCGUG
rnacentral:rRNA from 1 species